rnacentral:rRNA from 1 species
UACAGAGACUGCAAGCGUUAUUCGGAUUCACUGGGCGUAAAGGGUGCGCAGGCGGCCAAGUGUGUCAGGUGUGAAAUCCCGGGGCUUAACUCCGGAACUGCGCCUGAAACUACUUGGCUAGAGCAUUGGAGAGGGAAGUGGAAUUCACGGUGUAGCAGUGAAAUGCGUAGAUAUCUGGAGGAAUACCGGUGGCGAAGGCGGCAUCCUGGACCAUUACUGACGCUGAGGCGCGAAAGCUAGGGGAGCAAACGGG